UGCCAGCAGCCGCGGUAAUACGGAGGGUGCAAGCGUUGUUCGGAAUCAUUGGGCGUAAAGCGGGUGUAGGCGGUCUGGCAAGUCGGGUGUGAAAUCCCAGGGCCCAACCCUGGAACUGCACUCGAAACUGCCGAACUAGAGUCCCGGAGAGGGUGGCGGAAUUCCCGGUGUAGAGGUGAAAUUCGUAGAUAUCGGGAGGAACACCAGUGGCGAAGGCGGCCACCUGGACGGUGACUGACGCUCAGACCCGAAAGUGUGGGGAGCAAACAGGAUUAGAUA
rnacentral:rRNA from 1 species